rnacentral:rRNA from 2 species
ACUAUCGUUAACUGAAUACAUAGGUUAACGAGGCGAACCGGGGGAACUGAAACAUCUAAGUACCCCGAGGAAAAGAAAUCAACCGAGAUUCCCCCAGUAGCGGCGAGCGAACGGGGAGCAGCCCGGAGUCUGAAUCAGCUUGUGUGUUAGUGGAACGGUCUGGAAAGUCCGACGGUACAGGGUGAUAGUCCCGUACACGAAAGCACACUUGCUGUGAACUCGAAGAGUAGGGCGGGACACGUGGUAUCCUGUCUGAAUAUGGGGGGACCAUCCUCCAAGGCUAAAUACUCCUGACUGACCGAUAGUGAACCAGUACCGUGAGGGAAAGGCGAAAAGAACCCCGGCGAGGGGAGUGAAAAAGAACCUGAAACCGUGUACGUACAAGCAGUGGGAGCACCUUCGUGGUGUGACUGCGUACCUUUUGUAUAAUGGGUCAGCGACUUAUAUUCUGUAGCAAGGUUAACCGUAUAGGGGAGCCGAAGGGAAACCGAGUCUUAACUGGGCGUUAAGUUGCAGGGUAUAGACCCGAAACCCGGUGAUCUAGCCAUGGGCAGGUUGAAGGUUGGGUAACACUAACUGGAGGACCGAACCGACUAAUGUUGAAAAAUUAGCGGAUGACCUGUGGCUGGGGGUGAAAGGCCAAUCAAACCGGGAGAUAGCUGGUUCUCCCCGAAAGCUAUUUAGGUAGCGCCUCGUGAACUCAUCUUCGGGGGUAGAGCACUGUUUCGGCUAGGGGGCCAUCCCGGCUUACCAACCCGAUGCAAACUACGAAUACCGAAGAAUGUUAUCACGGGAGACACACGGCGGGUGCUAACGUCCGUCGUGAAGAGGGAAACAACCCAGACCGCCAGCUAAGGUCCCAAAGUCAUGGUUAAGUGGGAAACGAUGUGGGAAGGCACAGACAGCCAGGAUGUUGGCUUAGAAGCAGCCAUCAUUUAAAGAAAGCGUAAUAGCUCACUGGUCGAGUCGGCCUGCGCGGAAGAUGUAACGGGGCUAAACCAUGCACCGAAGCUGCGGCAGCGACACUAUGUGUUGUUGGGUAGGGGAGCGUUCUGUAAGCCGUUGAAGGUGUGCUGUGAGGCAUGCUGGAGGUAUCAGAAGUGCGAAUGCUGACAUAAGUAACGAUAAAGCGGGUGAAAAGCCCGCUCGCCGGAAGACCAAGGGUUCCUGUCCAACGUUAAUCGGGGCAGGGUGAGUCGACCCCUAAGGCGAGGCCGAAAGGCGUAGUCGAUGGGAAACAGGUUAAUAUUCCUGUACUUGGUGUUACUGCGAAGGGGGGACGGAGAAGGCUAUGUCAGCCGGGCGACGGUUGUCCCGGUUUAAGCAUGUAGGCGGAGGUUCCAGGUAAAUCCGGUACCUUAUUAACGCUGAGGUGUGAUGACGAGGCACUACGGUGCUGAAGUGAUAAAUGCCCUGCUUCCAGGAAAAGCCUCUAAGCAUCAGGUAACACGAAAUCGUACCCCAAACCGACACAGGUGGUCAGGUAGAGAAUACCAAGGCGCUUGAGAGAACUCGGGUGAAGGAACUAGGCAAAAUGGUGCCGUAACUUCGGGAGAAGGCACGCUGAUGUGUAGGUGAAGUCCCUGCGGACGGAGCUGAAAUCAGUCGAAGAUACCAGCUGGCUGCAACUGUUUAUUAAAAACACAGCACUGUGCAAACACGAAAGUGGACGUAUACGGUGUGACGCCUGCCCGGUGCCGGAAGGUUAAUUGAUGGGGUUAGCUGUAAGGCGAAGCUCUUGAUCGAAGCCCCGGUAAACGGCGGCCGUAACUAUAACGGUCCUAAGGUAGCGAAAUUCCUUGUCGGGUAAGUUCCGACCUGCACGAAUGGCGUAAUGAUGGCCAGGCUGUCUCCACCCGAGACUCAGUGAAAUUGAACUCGCUGUGAAGAUGCAGUGUACCCGCGGCAAGACGGAAAGACCCCGUGAACCUUUACUAUAGCUUGACACUGAACACUGGUCCUUGAUGUGUAGGAUAGGUGGGAGGCUUUGAAGCGUGGACGCCAGUCUGCGUGGAGCCGUCCUUGAAAUACCACCCUUUAAUGGCUGGUGUUCUAACGUAGACCCGUAAUCCGGGUUGCGGACAGUGUCUGGUGGGUAGUUUGACUGGGGCGGUCUCCUCCCAAAGAGUAACGGAGGAGCACGAAGGUUGGCUAAUCCUGGUCGGACAUCAGGAGGUUAGUGCAAUGGCAUAAGCCAGCUUGACUGCGAGCGUGACGGCGCGAGCAGGUGCGAAAGCAGGUCAUAGUGAUCCGGUGGUUCUGAAUGGAAGGGCCAUCGCUCAACGGAUAAAAGGUACUCCGGGGAUAACAGGCUGAUACCGCCCAAGAGUUCAUAUCGACGGCGGUGUUUGGCACCUCGAUGUCGGCUCAUCACAUCCUGGGGCUGAAGUAGGUCCCAAGGGUAUGGCUGUUCGCCAUUUAAAGUGGUACGCGAGCUGGGUUUAGAACGUCGUGAGACAGUUCGGUCCCUAUCUGCCGUGGGCGCUGGAGAAUUGAGGGGGGCUGCUCCUAGUACGAGAGGACCGGAGUGGACGCAUCACUGGUGUUCGGGUUGUCAUGCCAAUGGCACUGCCCGGUAGCUAAAUGCGGAAGAGAUAAGUGCUGAAAGCAUCUAAGCACGAAACUUGCCCCGAGAUGAGUUCU